ensembl:lncRNA
UUUUAUACAAGUGGAUGUAAAAUUAUUAGUGACAUUCAUCUAAAGUUAGACAUCAGAAUGAGUGCUGGGUAUAGAAACAUUUACAGUACAGAAAGAUCAGGGUGCAUAGCAAUCGAAGUGAAAUCUGGCUGUUGUAAUUUUUUACAGUACAGUAAAUUAUCAACUGUCUCCAAACACGAGGCAAAGAGAAAAUGUAUUCCAUCACGUAAAACAUUUUUGACUUUAAAAAAUUUAGUUGACAACUGCAUAGACCAAAUGCCAUGACAUAAGCUACUGAAGCUACUCAACCUCAGGUGGAUCUAGUACAAAGGGACACUUACAAACAUAGUGGUUACACAUAUUGUAAAGUAUUAACUGGUCUAUCAUUAACCCGCAGAAUAAAAGCUUUGCAACACUACCAGUGGAUGAUGAUGAUGAUGAUGAUGAUGAUGGUGGACUUGUAGUUGAUUAUUUCUCAAGAUAAAUGUGGUUUGUUGUUUAUUGCUGAAACAAUACAUACUGUUAUGUCCAGGCUCAUGUGUUGUUAUUAAGGAAACUAGUGUUGAAUGUUCUUUUUAACAUCUUUGGAAGGCGAAUAAUGAAUUAACAAAUGUGAGAGUUUCUGAACUGAUUGAAUGGCAGAAAACAAAACAAAAAAACGAUACUGUGUUGCUUAAAAUGCCAGAAAAGCAUAGAAACUAAUAGAAAUAUUAAAUAUACAACCACUGCAUUCUCAUGACAUAAAAUUGUCAACAUUAUUUUUUUAUGAACCCCAAACUAAAAUUAUAGUUUGUAUAAAUCAUAUGUAAGACAUCCUCUUACUUAGCACGACAUAUCUACAGUAGUUGGACACAGAAAAGUGCAUAUUUAUAAAGACAAAUGCGCUAAAGAAAUUUUUCUAAGUACAGUGUUAUGAAGAAAAAAACACAUCUACAUGUUCACAGUAAUGUUCCAUAGAAACAUACAUCGAAAGACACAACCAGUCCUGAGAAAAAGAAUCUCUACAAAUCAACAAUGGCCCGUCGUACUUCAGUGCAUUGUUCGUUAAACAAUCUCCAGUGUUUAGAGCAUCCUUACAAUAAAGAAUAAAAAUACAUUUAUAUGAAAACAUGCUGUCCAAAAAAAUUAAAAGACAAAAGAAAGUGUGGCCCUGCCAACAAUAUCCUCAUCAUGGAAUGACAUAAAAACAAAAAAAAAUAUUACAAAGCUGACGGACGGCAUACUGUACCCUUUAUAUAGUUAUGAUUUUGGUAUAUGAGUAUUUUUUUUGGAUGUUGAUAGCAGAGUCAGAUAACACAACACCUUUCAGUGCCAUCAUAUGUGAGUCUUAGCACUAUGUCACCUUGAAUCAGUAACAGAGCGUUACUGACAUCUCCCGACACCGUCCGACUUUAGCUCAUCUUUAGCAGGCUUGGAAAAUAAAAGCAGUUCUGAUUAAAGCAAUGCUCUGGCUAUCAUGCAGCAAGUAUCCAUGCAGAAAUUCUUACUCUCUACGCAAUCAGAUACAAAUAUAUGAAAUGAGGAAAAAAGGGACAAAAAAAAUCUCUGCCUUGCAUCUGGACUGACCCCUCAUUGUCCACACUGAGACAUUCUUCUCACGCAGAUUACCUAAAGCUGCACGCCUAUUAGCAGCACUUUUGGUGACCUUUCCUGUAUUUUUCCUUCAUUUUCACCUGGUCAAAUGUGAAUGAUUCCAUUAUUUUCAGGCCCCUUCUAGCACCUAACUUUUGCUUGUCACUCUUUUGGGGCUUCAAGGCUGUGUUUGGGUUGAGCGCUGCAGCAUACUCAGGGUGCUCAGAAGGAGAGAUAAUCAUGUGGGCAACCUCUCAGUUUCGUCUAGAAGGUGCAAAAGAAUGAAAACAGACAGAAUCGGGUUAACACAACAAGUUUCUCAAGUUCUAAAAGUGAAUGUUGCAACUUUACUGGAUGCACGAGAAAGCAGUUUGCCUAAAAAAAUCAAGCAAAAAAUAAAAAAUAACCUGGUGGUGAUGGAGAGUUAUCCUCCCCUGUUGUGGCAAACUGUAGGUCAGACCCCAAAGCAGCUAUGGAGCUCCUGGGGCGAAUGCAGCGGUCACCUGAGAAACUCCUACGAAGUAAUGCCUAAAGCCAGAUAUGUUACACCAAUUACUGAUAAAUGUCUCCAUAAUAAAAUACAUUUACAUUUUUUCUGGUUGCUACUGUUCUUCAUUUGAGAGGUAGACAGGUGCAACUUGAUCC